GUGAGGAAUUUUCCGCAAUGGGAGAAAGCCUGACGGAGCAAUGCCGCGUGAAGGAUGAAGGCCUAUGGGUUGUAAACUUCUUUUCUCAGAAAAGAAUUAUGACGGUAUCUGAGGAAUAAGCAUCGGCUAACUCUGUGCCAGCAGCCGCGGUAAGACAGAGGAUGCAAGCGUUAUCCGGAAUGAUUGGGCGUAAAGCGUCUGUAGGUUGUUUAAAAAGUAUUCUGUCAAAGAUUAGGGCUUAACCCUAGAUAGGCAGAAUAAACUUUUAAGCUAGAGUUUGGUAGAGGCAGAGGGAAUUCCCGGUGGAGCGGUGAAAUGCGUAGAUAUCGGGAGGAACACCAAAGGCGAAGGCACUCUGCUGGGCCAAUACUAACACUGAGAGACGAAAGCGAGGGGAGCAAAUGGGAUUAGAUACCCUUGUAGUCC
rnacentral:rRNA from 1 species